rnacentral:rRNA from 1 species
UACGUAGGGAGCAAGCGUUGUCCGGAAUCAUUGGGCGUAAAGCGCGCGUAGGUGGCCACAUAAGUCCGUUGUGAAAGUCAAAGGCUCAACCUUUGAAAGCCGAUGGAUACUGUGUGGCUAGAGUACGGAAGAGGCGAGUGGAAUUCCUGGUGUAGCGGUGGAAUGCGCAGAUAUCAGGAGGAACACCGGUGGCGAAGGCGGGUCUCUGGGCCGAUACUGACGCUGAGGAGCGAAAGCGUGGGGAGCGAACAGG